GCCCUUAGAGUUUGAUCCUGGCUCAGGAUGAACGCUGGCGGUAUGCUUUACACAUGCAAGUCGUACGAGAGUUUUUAACUCAAGUGGCGGACGGGUGAGUAACACGUAAGAAUUUGCCUUUAGGAGGGGGAUAACAACUGGAAACGGUUGCUAAUACCCCAUAUGCUUUCGAGUAAAAUGGAUUUUCCGCUUAAAGAAGAAAGCUUGCGGCUGAUUAGCUUGUUUGGUGAGGUAAUGGCUCACCCAGGCCGACGAUCAGUAUCUGGUUGUGAGAGGACGAUCAGACACACUGGAACUGAGACACGGUCCCAGACUCUUACGGGAGGCAGCAGUGGGGAAUUUUCCGCAAUGGGCGAAAGCCUGACGGAGCAAUACCGCGUGAGGGAUGACGGCCUAUGGGUUGUAAACCUCUUUUUUUCAGGGAGGAAUCAAUGACGUGUACCUGAAGAAUAAGCAUCGGCUAACUCCGUGCCAGCAGCCGCGGUAAGACGGAGGAUGCAAGUGUUAUCCGGAAUCACUGGGCGUAAAGCGUCUGUAGGUGGUCAAAUAAGUCAACUGUUAAAUCUUGGGGCUCAACCUCAAAAUCGCAGUCGAAACUUUUCGACUAGAGUAUAGUAGGGGUAAAGGGAAUUUCCAGUGGAGCGGUGAAAUGCGUAGAGAUUGGAAAGAACACCGAUGGCGAAGGCACUUUACUGGGCUAUUACUAACACUGAGAGACGAAAGCUAGGGUAGCAAAUGGGAUUAGAUACCCCAGUAGUCCUAGCCGUAAACAAUGGAUACUAGAUGUUGAACAGAUCGACCUGUGCAGUAUCAAAGCUAACGCGUUAAGUAUCCCGCCUGGGAAGUAUGCUCGCAAGAGUGAAACUCAAAUGAAUUGACGGGGAAGGGC
rnacentral:rRNA from 1 species